rnacentral:rRNA from 1 species
AUGGCGCAAUCUGACGUAAAAAUCAUCUGGUGGAACGUCUGCGGACUUAACUCGCGCGCUCGCCAUGACGCCGUUCGCGUUAUCGUUCGCAACUCCCACACCCCCAUCGUCUGUCUCCAAGAGGCGAAGCUACAACUAGUUGACGACUCCAUUGUCAGGGAGAUGCUUGGCCCUUGAUUCACCGCCAACUACUUUGUCUUGCCUGCAACCGGCACUAGAGGAGGAAUGAUCUUGGCCGUGUCAGACCGUUUCUUCGCGCUGUCAGACUGCCAGACUACGCCGGGCACCAUCUCCGCCUCUGUCUCCAUGCUAAAUGAUCGCAUUGCUUGGACCAUCACUUACGUCUAUGGUCCUCAGGGUGAGUCGGACAAGGUGGCAUUCAUUGAGGGGUUGAGGGCUCUCUCUGCCACGACUGGAAGGCAGUGGCUUCUUUUGGGGGAUUUCAAUCUGAUCACUAAAGCGGCGGACAAGAGCAACGCCAACAUCAAUCGCCGUCUCAUUGGGAAAUUCCGCGGGGCCCUUGACUUCAUGCAGCUAAAAGAGCUAUGUAUGUGUGGGAGGCUGUAA